rnacentral:rRNA from 1 species
UGGGGAAUUUUGCACAAUGGGGGAAACCCUGAUGCAGCGACGCCGCGUGAUUUAGAAGGCCUUCGGGUUGUAAAAAUCUUUUCUAUGGGAAGAAAAUGACAGUACCAUAGGAAUAAGGACCGGCUAAUUACGUGCCAGCAGCCGCGGUAAUACGUAAGGUCCGAGCGUUGUCCGGAAUCAUUGGGCGUAAAGGGUACGUAGGCGGGUAAGCAAGUUAGAAGUGAAAUCCUGUAGCUCAACUACAGUAAGCUUUUAAAACUGCUCAUCUUGAGAUAUGGAAGGGAAAGUGAAAUUCCUAGUGUAGCGGUGAAAUGCGCAGAUAUUAGGAGGAAUACCGGUGGCGAAGGCGACUUUCUGGCCAUAAUCUGACGCUGAGGUACGAAAGCGUGGGUAGCAAACAGG